UAGGGAAUCUUCCACAAUGGACGCAAGUCUGAUGGAGCAACGCCGCGUGAGUGAAGAAAGGCUUUCGGGUCGUAAAAGCUCUGUUAUUGAAGAAGAACGUGUGUGACAGUAACUGGUCAUGCAGUGACGGUAUUCAAUCAGAAAGUCACGGCUAACUACGUGCCAGCAGCCGCGGUAAUACGUAGGUGGCAAGCGUUGUCCGGAUUUAUUGGGCGUAAAGCGAGUGCAGGCGGUCUUUUAAGUCUGAUGUGAAAGCCUUCGGCUUAACCGAAG
rnacentral:rRNA from 1 species